CAUGUAUUCAUUUAUUCAUGCAUGUAUUUCUUUAUUUCUUUUUUAUUUUUAAGAAACGUCUCGAAUCACGGUGAGAACACUCGCCAAAGCUUUCGCGUUGGUUGGUUGGUGGCGGUCGGUCCGACCACGACGACGAAAACUCACUCACCCGUCCCUUCAGACGCGUGCACCUUUUCUUCCACCGCCCGCCCACCCACCCAAAAACCCAGAUGUUUCGAUGAGGAUGAGCCUCGGCUGUUCCGGCUAGCCAGCCUCCAGCGCUCCGGACGGAGGUUCUCCUCUGCAGCAUCGCUGGCUUUCGGCACGUCGUCGUCGUCUACUUCCCGCUCGAGAGAUGCAUCUCUGCUGCGCAGACUUGGCCGGCCUCGGGGGUUUGCUUCGGUUCUCUCUCUGGUGGGAUGUCAAGACGGCACUGCACCCCCCCC